GAUGAAGAACGUAGCGAAAUGCGAUAAGUAGUGUGAAUUGCAGAAUUCUGUGAAUCAUCGAAUCUUUGAACGCACAUUGCGCCCCUUGGUAUCCCGAGGGGCAUGCCUGUUCGAGCGUCAUUUCACCACUCAAGCCUGGCUUGGUGUUGGGCGACGUCCCCUUUAGGGACGCGCCUCGAAACGCUCGGCGGCGUGGCACCGGCUUUAAGCGUAGCAGAAUCUUUCGCUUUGGAAGUCGGGGCCCCGCCUGCCGGAAUACCUACUCGUAAGGUUGACCUCGGAUCAGGCAGGGAUACCCGCUGAACUUAAGCAUAUCAAUAAGCGGAGGA
rnacentral:misc_RNA from 1 species